GCUGCACAGAGCCCCCGCUCUGCCCACAUCACUCAAGUGCCCAGUCCCGGCUCAUGUCCCUUUGGGAAGACAGAAAGGAUUUAACCGGACCCAAGACCUCCGGGCCCAAGUGGGAGAAGGUGGACAGGAGUUCGGGACCAAGAGAGAAAGGUUCAAGGACAGGAGGCACUGGCCACGAGCUAGGCUGCCUCCAGGUGACUCUUCUAACAUUGGAGAACCACUGCUUUAGACCGUAAGUAUAAUACAAACCAAAGCAAUGGUCCACACCUGAACAUCCAAAUCCUGAGACACGAAAAUACCUGCAAGUCCAGCCAGAGGGAAGGGGCUAAAGCACUCGGGGACCAGGACCCCUGCACUCACCCAUGGAGUCCACCCCCUGCCUCCGAGACACCUGGGCUUCACGACUUCUAAGGGGACUGCUUCCCUGAAAAUGUCCCCGAUGGUCACUAUGGUGCCUGUGACCAGCCUGAGCUAACCAGCCCCAGACUGCCAGAGGAGGAGGUGGCCGUCCCAGGCCCUGCGGCCAUACUGGUCUGGGCCACGACCUCCUGACCUCCCUAUGUAUCUUUCAAACUUGACCCCACCUGCUUUGCUUCAAACCACAGCCCAUAAAGCUCCCAGCACUUGAGCCAACACAGCAAACUGUUUUCCGACACCAGAAACCUCUGGAGGAGUUUUGGCCAACAACAGCAGCAACAAAAAGUCUGCUCUCGGGAAAAGGAUAGGCUCCCCAGAGCCGGACCCAGGGGAGACGAAAUCUGAGGGACCCUAGAAUCCUGGCCAGUCCCACCGCAGCCAUCACACUGGUGAAUUCGUCCCCAGUGACGUUGGUGAGAGGCUGGUGUCUGUGCCCCUGGCCCCUCAGGCGGCCAGCUGAGACGAGGCCUCGUCCUCUCUCUCCCCUGCCUCAACGGUGACACA